ACAGCGCGGCCGCCCCUCUCCCUGCGCGCAUCUCCCGCGCAUCUCCCGCACACACACAGCGCGGCGGCUGCGGGAGGAGGAGAGCGCACGGAACUGCGCGGAAACGAAGGGCUGAAAACGGAGCGAGCGCGUCCGACGGAGCGCUUUUCUCCUCCGCAUGCCGGCUGCUGCCUGCUGGGUGUCCGACCGGGAGGAGCUGUGCUGGAGGAGAAGGAGAUUUGCUUUAUAACGAAAGGAGGUGGCACUGCAGCCGAGGGACGCGGGAGGCAGCAGCGGAGGGCACACGGAGGGUCCCCAGCCCCUCUCCGGGGGUGUGCAGAGGGAUGACAGUCAUCCACACUGUUCAGCUCUGUAUUCCCCAUCAACCUGGGCUCAGCCAACCCUCUCCACUGGCUUUGGGAUGAAGGGGAAGGUGUGAUGGCCCCACAGACCCCAAACUGCCUGGUUGCAGGGGAGAUGGCAGACUUGGCUCCACAGCAUGAUGCUGAGUGGCUUCCAGAUGAUGUAUCAGCCGCCUACGUAGACAUCAAACAUAUUAACACAAUAAAGCUGCUGCUCAGAA